UACGUAGGGGGCAAGCGUUGUCCGGAAUCAUUGGGCGUAAAGCGCGUGUAGGCGGUCCGGUAAGUCCGCUGUGAAAGUCGGGGGGCUCAACCCUCGGAUGCCGGUGGAUACUGUCGGGCUAGAGUGCGGAAGAGGCGAGUGGAAUUCCUGGUGUAGCGGUGAAAUGCGCAGAUAUCAGGAGGAACACCUAUUGCGAAGGCAGCUCGCUGGGACGUAACUGACGCUGAGACGCGAAAGCGUGGGGAGCAAACAGG
rnacentral:rRNA from 1 species